ACAAUGGAGAGUUUGAUCCUGGCUCAGGAUGAACGCUAGCGGCAGGCCUAAUACAUGCAAGUCGAACGGUGUAGCAAUACACAGUGGCGCACGGGUGCGUAACACGUAUGCAACCUACCUAUCAUUGGGGGAUAGCCUUUGGAAACGGAGAUUAAUACCGCAUAAGACAGUAACAUGGCAUCAUGUAGCUGUUAAAGCUUCGGCGAUGAUAGAUGGGCAUGCGUCCAAUUAGUUAGUUGGUGAGGUAACGGCUCACCAAGACGAUGAUUGGUAGGGGAUCUGAGAGGAUAAUCCCCCACACUGGCACUGAGAUACGGGCCAGACUCCUACGGGAGGCAGCAGUAGGGAAUAUUGGGCAAUGGACGGAAGUCUGACCCAGCCAUGCCGCGUGCAGGAUGAAGGCGUUAUGCGUUGUAAACUGCUUUUUUAUAGGAAGAAGGAGACCUUGCGAGGUUUGGUGACGGUACUAUAAGAAUAAGCACCGGCUAA
rnacentral:rRNA from 1 species